AUUGAACGCUGGCGGCAUGCCUUACACAUGCAAGUCGAACGGUAACAGGUCUUCGGAUGCUGACGAGUGGCGAACGGGUGAGUAAUACAUCGGAACGUGCCUAGUAGUGGGGGAUAACUACUCGAAAGAGUGGCUAAUACCGCAUGAGAUCUACGGAUGAAAGCAGGGGAUCGCAAGACCUUGUGCUACUAGAGCGGCCGAUGGCAGAUUAGGUAGUUGGUGGGAUAAAAGCUUACCAAGCCGACGAUCUGUAGCUGGUCUGAGAGGACGAUCAGCCACACUGGGACUGAGACACGGCCCAGACUCCUACGGGAGGCAGCAGUGGGGAAUUUUGGACAAUGGGCGAAAGCCUGAUCCAGCAAUGCCGCGUGCAGGAUGAAGGCCUUCGGGUUGUAAACUGCUUUUGUACGGAACGAAAAGCUCUGGGUUAAUACCCUGGGGUCAUGACGGUACCGUAAGAAUAAGCACCGGCUGACUACGUGCCAGCCGCCGCGGUAAUAC
rnacentral:rRNA from 1 species